rnacentral:rRNA from 1 species
GACGAACGCUGGCGGCGUGCUUAACACAUGCAAGUCGAACGGAAAGGCCCUGCUUUUGUGGGGUGCUUGAGUGGCGAACGGGUGAGUAACACGUGAGUAACCUGCCCUUGACUUUGGGAUAACUUCAGGAAACUGGGGCUAAUACCGGAUAGGAGCUCCUGCUGCAUGGUGGGGGUUGGAAAGUUUCGGCGGUUGGGGAUGGACUCGCGGCUUAUCAGCUUGUUGGUGGGGUAGUGGCUUACCAAGGCUUUGACGGGUAGCCGGCCUGAGAGGGUGACCGGCCACAUUGGGACUGAGAUACGGCCCAGACUCCUACGGGAGGCAGCAGUGGGGAAUAUUGCACAAUGGGCGGAAGCCUGAUGCAGCAACGCCGCGUGCGGGAUGACGGCCUUCGGGUUGUAAACCGCUUUCGCCUGUGACGAAGCGUGAGUGACGGUAAUGGGUAAAGAAGCACCGGCUAACUACGUGCCAGCAGCCGCGGUGAUACGUAGGGUGCGAGCGUUGUCCGGAUUUAUUGGGCGUAAAGGGCUCGUAGGUGGUUGAUCGCGUCGGAAGUGUAAUCUUGGGGCUUAACCCUGAGCGUGCUUUCGAUACGGGUUGACUUGAGGAAGGUAGGGGAGAAUGGAAUUCCUGGUGGAGCGGUGGAAUGCGCAGAUAUCAGGAGGAACACCAGUGGCGAAGGCGGUUCUCUGGGCCUUUCCUGACGCUGAGGAGCGAAAGCGUGGGGAGCGAACAGGCUUAGAUACCCUGGUAGUCCACGCUGUAAACGGUGGGUACUAGGUGUGGGGUCCAUUCCACGGGUUCCGUGCCGUAGCUAACGCUUUAAGUACCCCGCCUGGGGAGUACGGCCGCAAGGCUAAAACUCAAAGGAAUUGACGGGGCCCCGCACAAGCGGCGGAGCAUGCGGAUUAAUUCGAUGCAACGCGUAGAACCUUACCUGGGUUUGACAUGGAUCGGGAGUGCUCAGAGAUGGGUGUGCCUCUUUUGGGGUCGGUUCACAGGUGGUGCAUGGCUGUCGUCAGCUUGUGUCGUGAGAUGUUGGGUUAAGUCCCGCAACGAGCGCAACCCUUGUUCACUGUUGCCAGCACGUUAUGGUGGGGACUCAGUGGAGACCGCCGGGGUCAACUCGGAGGAAGGUGGGGAUGACGUCAAGUCAUCAUGCCCCUUAUGUCCAGGGCUUCACGCAUGCUACAAUGGCUGGUACAGAGAGUGGCGAGCCUGUGAGGGUGAGCGAAUCUCGGAAAGCCGGUCUCAGUUCGGAUUAGGGUCUGCAACUCGACCUCAUGAAGUCGGAGUCGCUAGUAAUCGCAGAUCAGCAACGCUGCGGUGAAUACGUUCCCGGG